UAGCCCACGUGGAGAACGCCAGGGAGCUGUGAGGGUGUGCAGUAGCGUUCCUGCCAUCUGGACACUUUUUCCUCUACUGAGAUUCAUCUGUGUGAAAUGUGAGUUGGUGAGGAAGAUCAACCUACCGGCCUAGACCAAGACUCAAUGUAGAACCUCCUGAGGUUAUUGGGCCUAUGUUGUCCGAGCAGUUCAGUGAUGAAGAAGGGGAACCACCAAAACCUGAAGAAGGAGAACCAGCAAAUCAAAGUCGGGAUCCUGCACCUGCUCAGGAGGGAGAGGACAAGGGAGCAUCUGCAGCUCAAGGUGAAAAGCAAUCACAGAGUUAAAAGAAGACACGCUGAAAUGAUGCAGGCUGCUCCUGUGUUGGAAAUUUGUUCAUUAAAGUUCUCCCAAUAAAGCUUUACAGCCUUCUGCAAA